CGCCCGGCACCUGCAGGAGGGCGCGGCCCGCGGGGCGCCUGGGAGCGCGCGUGGGGAGGGCGCGGCUCGGACUGAGCGCCUUUCCCGCCCAGGCAGGGGCAGGUGCCGGGGACCCAGCGCCGCCGGACGCUCGCAGCGGGCCAGCCUUCUGCCGCCGUCGGGGCUUUGGGGCUGACAGAGCCCCGCUUUCCCGGUCUCCUGGAGGGACCGUGCCUGAGGAUGCCUCCGAUUCUCGGAGCGCCGCGGGCCCGGCCGUCCGCAUUCUUUUUCUGUCCAUUUUUCGGCCUUGCCCUCUUUCCCGUCUCCCCGGGCGGUGAUGCUGGGCCUAACGGGGAGAACGGGGCCUCCGCCUGCCUUCUAGGCACUCACUGGGCGGUGGUUGUGACCGCGGGGGCGGGAGCCAUACGGGGCACGGGCUGUGCUUCUCUCCCUCCUGCCCCUGGGUAGCCGUCGCAGGAAGGUGGUCUUUCAGCUGGAUCCCCAAGGAUGAGUAGGAUAGUUUUGGGCAGAGAAGACAGCUUGACCAAAGGCCCUGAGGUGUAAACAGGGACCAGUGAGUGGACUUUGGGUGGGAUGUGGCGAGAACGUGUAGAGAGGGUGGGAAGUGGGACGUGAAGGAAGAGCCAACAGGGCUGGAUUUGGGGCGAGUCAGGGGAGGUUGUGGUUUGAGUGGGAUCAGGAUGGGGAGGAGGGCGCACACGCUCAGGCUGUUGCUGCCACCACCCAGGGGAGAGGGUGAGGAGGUGGUGCAGCGCUUAGAGGCUUUCCCUGGGCGGUCUUCAAGGGACCACGAGGUGCCAGUGUGGCAGCUGUGACAGCCGUAUCCUCGUGCGCCUGCUUGGGCAAUAGAUCAUUUUCUAGCCUCGUUGGCUGAAAAAGACACAGAACACGAAGAGAAAGUGGAGUCUUAGAAACUUUGAAUCUCAGAAACUCCGGAGGAGCAUGGUGACUAGCGAUGGCGUCACUGAUUCUAACUCUGGAACCUCACUAUUGUCACGUUGCUGGAGUGUUACCUCAUGGCCUGUUCUUAGGCAUGUGGCUGUGUGGGGGAAAGAAUUUGGGACUGGGAGGCCAGAGACUGGGGUUCUGUCCCCUCCCCACCUGGAAGUCUCUAAAGCCCUUGGGUCCCCUGGAGGAGGAAGGUUCUACAUAGUUCUACCCAAUGCGACUCCCCUCCCUAUCUGGAGGGAGGGCCAGUCUCUGAGCAAAGCCACAUGGGUAUCAGUAGGGAGUGGGUCUUUCAGGGAGUCCAGAAACCUGCUGUAGGGUGCAGGCAGAGUGGAGGCAGACUUUGGGAGGCUCAGGCCAGCUGCAGCAUUCGGGCUGAGCCCCAAAUGCUGUGGCCCCGGAGGCCCUGGGAGGGGCACCGCUGCUUGGUGGCAGGCUCCUUCAGCGCUGAACUGGAAGUUCUCAGGGUAUCUUUCUGGUCCAGCUGUGGGGAUGUGGGCAAUGUGUGUAAGGGCCCAGCGUGGUGGCUGCCCUGCCCUUAGCCCGACAAGUGUUUGCUGUGGCUGGUGGCAGUCUCUUCUUUCAGUCCCCAGUGCUUUUCUGGGCCUCCACCUUCCUAAGAGUGGGCUGACUCUACAUUCCAGUUUACCCAGAAGAGUUGUUUCAUUCUUGAUAAUCAACAGCAUCCCUUUCGUUCUUUUUUUUUUUUUUUUUUUUUGAGGGCAGAGAGCAGAGAUGGGGCCCUUUUUUGUUUGUUUGUUUGUUGUUUGUUUUGAGAUAGAGUCUUGCUCUGUCUCUGUUUCCCAAGCUGGAGUGCAGUGACAUGGUCUCUGCUCACUGCAACCUGCGCCUCCUGGGUAUAAAGCGAUUCUCCUGCCUCAGACUCCUGAGAAGCUGGAAUUACAGGUGCAUACCACCAUGCCUGGCUAAUUUUUUUUUUUUUUUUUGAGAGACAGAGUCUUGCUCUGUUGCCCAGGCUGGAGUGCAGUGGCACAAUCUCGGCUCACUGUAACCUUUGCUUCCUGGGUUCAAGCGAUUCUCCUGCCUUAGCUUCCCAAGUAGCUGGGACUACAGGCAUGUGCCACCACGCCCAGCUAAUUUUUGUAUUUUUUUUUAGUAGAGAUGGGGUUUCACUGUAUGUUGGCCAGGCUGGUCUCGAACUCCUGACCUCAGAUGAUCCUUCCACCUUGGCCUCCCAAAGUGCUGGGAUUACAGGCAUGAGCCACUGCGCCUGGCCUAAUUUUUGUAUUUUUUUUUUUUAGUAGCAAUGGGGUUUUGCCAUGUUGCCCAGGCUGGUCUCAAACUCCUGACCUCCUAUGAUCUGCCCACCUCAGCCUCCCAGAGUGCCAGGAUUACAGGCGUGAGUCACCGCACCUGGUCGAGAUGGGGCUCUUUCUAUGUUGCCCAGGCCAGUCUUGAACUCCUGACCUCCCAAAGUGCUAGGAUUACCACCACAUCUAGCCCCUUUCUUUUUUCUUUUUUUGAGAUGAAGUCUCACUCUUGUCCCCCAAGCUGGAGUGCAAUGGCGUGAUCUUGGCUCACUGCAACCUCUGCCUCCCGGGUUCAAGCGAUUCUCCUGCCGCAGCCUCCUGAGUAGCUGGGAUUACAGGCGACUGCCACCACGCCUGGCUACUUUUUGUAUUUUUAGUAGAGACGGGGUUUCACCAUGCUGGCCAGGCUGGUCUCGAACUCCUGACCUUAGGUGAUCUGCCCACCUCAGCCUCCCAACGUGCUGGGAUUACAGGCGUGAGCCACCACGCCUGGCCCCAGCCCCUUUCAUUCUUAACAGCAUCCAGUUGAACCAUACAGCACAUGCUUGUCCUGUCCAUCAUCGUAUUGGAUAAGGAGCCACAGAGACCUCACUGAGCUGCUGGCUUUCCAUGGCUGUGCUUCCGUCCCUAUUGGAGCAGGCGAGCCUACCUGUGGGCUGCAUCACUUUGAAUGAGGAUGCUGAGGCUCAGAGGAGCUUGCCCGGGGCCCCAGAGCAGGGGAAUACCUGCAGCCCAGUAGGCCAGGCCCUGUAGGCUGGACGGCCACGGAAGCAGGCAGUCACGUCCUGCAGAAUGCACAGACUUGCAGGUGGCCUGUGCUCUGUGUGGCUGGUGGCAGGUAGUCCUGUGGCAAAGGCUGUUGGGGCAGGAGUGGAGCAGCAGGUGACACCUGGUAAAACAAGUUGGGACUGGACAGUGGGCUUGAUGGCAGCAGAGGGCCUGGGUGACACCCUAGUGCUAAGUGACUUGGGGAUAGGGUUUCAGGAAGAUCAUGUAGACAUCUGUGUCCACCUGUCCUGAUGCUGGGUGUCUGGAACUGGAGGUUGUCCCAGCACUGGGUGGGGUGGGGUGGCGUGGGAUGUGGAAGACUUUGAGGGGAAGGGGAGAAAACACCUAAAGACCAUGUAGCCUGAGGGGCUCUGGAAGGGUGGUCCUGGGCCAGGAGAGUGUCAUCGAGGGUCCUCCCAUGUGAGACCCCAGCCAUUGUGAGCUGCGCUAUAUUUUACAGUACAUUGAGAAAUAAAAACCACCAUUGGUUAAAUUCUGACGUGUUAGCAAUUGUCAGGCGCAGCCCAGUUUCAAAGAUGUUAAAAUAUGAAAACUAUGAAAGAAAACUCUCAGAGGCAGUGGGGUGUGGUGUAGCGACUGAGGAGUACGGGGCCGUGGCCGGGACAUCGGCAUGCUCGGUCUUGAUUCUGACAGAAAGAGGGAAGGAAAACGGGACCGAGGCAUCGCCUGACCCUCCCUUACUGCUGUCACCCUGGUGGUGGCCCAGGUGGGAUGAAGGCAGGGGGCCGGGCUGGAUGGGGUCUCGAGACCUCUGAAGUGGGGCUGUCUCUCUGGGCUGAAUGGAGCCCCUCCCUCCCACCCUUCACCUGUGGUCGGCCUCGGUCAGGCCGCCACUCCCCUUUACCUGGGCAGCUGAGGUGUCAGUCUCCUGCUGGCUCAGGGGCUGCCACCUCAGGUGGCCGUCUGCCGUGUGCUGGGUCUUUUCCGGCUGCCCCCGGCGCUUCUCUGGGCCUGUGCCAUUGUCCCCUGCUCACUCUCACCCACUAUGGUCCUGGGUCCCUCCACAUCCACCACCUCAGGGACCCCAUGCAUGGAUGUUGUGCCUCAGGGUUCCCUCUGCUUAGCCAGACACCAGCCUGCUGCCCACCAGGCCUGAGCUAGGGCUGAGCUGCCUGCCAGCCACACUUCCUGCCCUCCCCCCUCAGCUGUGUGCCUCACUAUGCUAGGCCGCCCCGCUGAGGUUGUUGGAGGCCUUAUUGUGGCUCCAUGGUGACCUCUUGGUUCAGAGCUUGCUUGACCUCCAGCCCUCUCCGUGGAUGGCUCCUUCCUGCCCUCACAGGCACCGUCCUGGCCCCGGCUCCAGUUAUGUCCAUGCCUCGGCCCUCUGCAGCUUCCUCCCAUUCCAUGUGUCCCAGGGCCUGUCUGUGGCCCCUCAGGUCCUGCUCUUGUGCUUGGUGUCCGUCUCUGCGUGGGGGCUGUGGUGCCCCCUCUGGCUGCUGAUUCCCUUAUGGGAAUAGGCCAGGUGUGCAUUGCUACCCUUCUGCGGUGGCUCUUCCCUUUGGGUAAUUACGAGUGAAAUUCUCCAGCUGUCCUUGUACGCAUCUUGGGUGUGUGUACCUAGGAGCAGAAUGGCUGGGUCAUAGGUUGUGCACAGAUACUUGAUUUUUAAUGGAAAAUUCCUUCUGGGUCAGAAUUGGGCACCCAGCUCCUUGGCAGGGCCCCAGGAGGCAGUGAGGCUGAAUGAGCUGCAGAACCGUUUAUUGUGCUUCCAGGGGGACAGCAGGCCCCUGGCCUCUUGGAACUGCUGGCACAUCCAGGAAAGCCUGG
rnacentral:lncRNA from 1 species